UACAGAGGUCUCGAGCGUUAGGCGGAAUCACUGGGCUUAAAGCGUGUGUAGGCGGAUCGGUAAGUACCUUGUGAAAUCCCACAGCUUAACUGUGGAACUGCUUGGUAUACUGCCAGUCUUGAGCCAGCUAGGGGCUACCGGAACAAAUGGUGGAGCGGUGAAAUGCGUAGAUAUCAUUUGGAACGCCAAUGGUGAAAACAGGCAGCUGGGGCUGUGCUGACGCUGAGACACGAAAGCCAGGGGAGCGAACGGG
rnacentral:rRNA from 1 species